rnacentral:rRNA from 1 species
AGAGUUUGAUCAUGGCUCAGAAUCAACGCUGGCGGCGUGCCUAACACAUGCAAGUCGAACGGGAAAGUUCUUUUCGGAGAGCGAGUAAAGUGGCGAACGGGUGAGUAACGCGUGGGUGAUCUACCCUUUGGUGGGGGAUAACCCGGGGAAACCCGGGCUAAUACCGCAUGAGCCUAAAGUUGUAAGCGAUUUUAGGGAAAGUUUUCGAAUGCCGAAGGAGGAGCCCGCGUCCGAUUAGCUAGUUGGUGAGGUAAGAGCUCACCAAGGCAACGAUCGGUAGCCGGUCUGAGAGGACGGACGGUCACACUGGGACUGAGACACGGCCCAGACUCCUACGGGAGGCAGCAGUGGGGAAUUUUGGGCAAUGGGCGAAAGCCUGACCCAGCAACGCCGCGUGGAGGAUGAAGGUUUUCGGAUCGUAAACUCCUGUCCAGAGGGACGAAGCAAGUGACGGUACCUCUGGAGGAAGCCCCGGCUAACUCCGUGCCAGCAGCCGCGGUAAUACGGGGGGGGCGAGCGUUGUUCGGAAUUACUGGGCGUAAAGGGCGCGUAGGCGGUUUCGGAAGUCAUGGGUGAAAGUCCUCGGCUCAACCGAGGGAUUGCCUGUGAAACCACGGGACUGGAGUGCUGGAGAGGGAAGUGGAAUUCCCAGUGUAGCGGUGAAAUGCGUAGAUAUUGGGAGGAACACCUGUGGCGAAGGCGGCUUCCUGGACAGACACUGACGCUGAGGCGCGAAAGCCAGGGGAGCAAACGGGAUUAGAUACCCCGGUAGUCCUGGCUGUAAACGAUGAACACUUGGUGUAGGGGGUGAUGAAAGUCCCUCUAUGCCGGAGAGAACUCAUUAAGUGUUCCGCCUGGGGAGUACGGCCGCAAGGCUGAAACUCAAAGGAAUUGACGGGGGCCCGCACAAGCGGUGGAGCAUGUGGUUUAAUUCGACGCAACGCGAAGAACCUUACCGGGGUUUGAACUGCGCUUGAGCGAUCUAGAGAUGGAGAGGUUCCCUUAGGGGACAGGUGCAGAGGUGCUGCAUGGCUGUCGUCAGCUCGUGUCGUGAGAUGUUGGGUUAAGUCCCGCAACGAGCGCAACCCUUGUCUGUAGUUGCCAUCAGGUAAAGCUGGGCACUCUACGGAGACUGUCGGCGAGAAGCCGGAGGAAGGUGGGGAUGACGUCAAGUCCUCAUGGCCUUUAUGUCCCGGGCUACACACGUGCUACAAUGGGCGGUACAGAGGGCAGCGACCCUGUGAAGGCAAGCGAAUCCCAGAAAACCGCUCUCAGUUCGGAUUGCAGUCUGCAACUCGACUGCAUGAAGUUGGAAUCGCUAGUAAUCGCGGAUCAGAACGCCGCGGUGAAUACGUUCCCGGGCCUUGUACACACCGCCCGUCACAUCACGAAAGUGGGCUGUACUAGAAGCCGCCGGCCUAACCUUAGGGAAGGAGGCGUCGACGGUAUGGCUCAUGAUUGGGGUGAAGUCGUAACAAGGUA